CAGGCAACGAGCGAGACCCACACUUCUAGUUGCCAGCAACACCCCUGCGGUGGUUGGGUACACUAGGAGGACUGCCAUUGCUAAAAUGGAGGAAGGAAUGGGCAACGGUAGGUCAGUAUGCCCCGAAUGGACCGGGCAACACGCGGGCUACAAUGGCUCUGACAGUGGGAUGCAACGCCGAGAGGCGAAGCUAAUCUCCAAACGGAGUCGUAGUUCGGAUUGCGGGCUGAAACCCGCCCGCAUGAAGCUGGAUUCGGUAGUAAUCGCGUGUCAGAAGCGCGCGGUGAAUACGUCCCUGCUCCUUGCACACACCCCCCGUCG
rnacentral:rRNA from 1 species